GAUUAACGCUAGCGGCAGGCCUAAUACAUGCAAGUUGAACGGGAUUUCGGGUAGCAAUAUCUGAAUGGGAGUGGCGCACGGGUGCGUAACACGUAUGCAAUCUACCUCUGACUGGGGAAUAGCUCCCUGAAAAGGGAAUUAACACCGCAUAAGAAAUUAGAGUGGCAUCACUUAGAUUUUAAAGAUUUAUUGGAUUAAGAUGGGCAUGCGUAAGAUUAGAUAGUUGGGGAGGUAACGGCUCACCAAGUCUACGAUCUUUAGGGGCUCUGAGAGGAGAAUCCCCCACACUGGCACUGAGAUACGGGCCAGACUCCUACGGGAGGCAGCAGUAGGGAAUAUUGGGCAAUGGGCGAAAGCCUGACCCAGCCACGCCGCGUGCAGGAAGACGGCCCUCUAGGUUGUAAACUGCUUUUAACUGGGAAGAAAAGAGGCCUUGCGAGGCAAGUUGACGGUACCAGUUGAAUAAGCCACGGCUAACUACGUGCCAGCCGCCGCGGUAAAAC
rnacentral:rRNA from 1 species